GGCCAGGUAAUGUUGAAACACCGUUUCUCGUACGAUCACUCAUGUUAAGCAACGUCAAGAUUGGUCAGUACUUAGAAGGGUGACCGAUUGGGAAUACCAGGUGCUGUAAG